rnacentral:rRNA from 1 species
AACGGACGCUGGCGGCAUGCCUAACACAUGCAAGUCGAACGAGACCUUCGGGUCUAGUGGCGCACGGGUGCGUAACGCGUGGGAACCUGCCCUUAGGUUCGGAAUAACUCCCCGAAAGGGGUGCUAAUACCGGAUAAUGUCUUCGGACCAAAGAUUUAUCGCCUUUGGAUGGGCCCGCGUUGGAUUAGCUAGUUGGUAGGGUAAAAGCCUACCAAGGCGACGAUCCAUAGCUGGUCUGAGAGGAUGAUCAGCCACACUGGGACUGAGACACGGCCCAGACUCCUACGGGAGGCAGCAGUGGGGAAUAUUGGACCAUGGGCGAAAGCCUGAUCCAGCAAUGCCGCGUGAGUGAUGAAGGCCUUAGGGUUGUAAAGCUCUUUUACCCGGGAUGAUAAUGACAGUACCGGGAGAAUAAGCUCCGGCUAACUCCGUG